rnacentral:ncRNA from 2 species
GAUGAAUCGGGCGAUGGAGUUCGCCAUUAACCGUCUUUUGCAGACUAAUGACUCCUACCAGUGA